rnacentral:rRNA from 1 species
AUUGAACGCUGGCGGCAGGCCUAACACAUGCAAGUCGGGCGAGAGGCGGACGGGUGAGUAAUGUAUGGGGAUCUGCCUGAUGGCGGGGGCUAACUACUGUAAACGGUAGCUAAUACCGCAUACCAUCAGCUCAACCCAUAUGGGAUUAGCUUGUAGGUGUGGUAACGGCUCACCUAGGCGACGCUCCCUAGCUGGUCUGAGAGGAUGAUCAGCAACACGGGGACUGAGACAGGGCCCAGACACCUAGGGGGGGAAGAGGUGGGGAAUAUUGCACAAGGGGCGCAAGCCUGAUGCAGCCAGGCCGCGUGGAUGAAGAAGGCCUUCGAGUUGUAAAGUACUUUCAGUCGGGAGGCGUAACCGACAGAAGAAGCACCGGCUAACUCCGUGCCAGCAGCCGCGUAAUUC